rnacentral:rRNA from 1 species
UGGGGAAUUUUGGACAAUGGGCGAAAGCCUGAUCCAGCAAUGCCGCGUGUGUGAAGAAGGCCUUCGGGUUGUAAAGCACUUUUGUCCGGAAAGAAAUCCUUGGCUCUAAUACAGUCGGGGGAUGACGGUACCGGAAGAAUAAGCACCGGCUAACUACGUGCCAGCAGCCGCGGUAAUACGUAGGGUGCAAGCGUUAACCGGAAUUACUGGGCGUAAAGCGUGCGCAGGCGGUUUGCUAAGACCGAUGUGAAAUCCCCGGGCUCAACCUGGGAACUGCAUUGGUGACUGGCAGGCUAGAGUAUGGCAGAGGGGGGUAGAAUUCCACGUGUAGCAGUGAAAUGCGUAGAGAUGUGGAGGAAUACCGAUGGCGAAGGCAGCCCCCUGGGCCAAUACUGACGCUCAUGCACGAAAGCGUGGGGAGCAAACAGGAUUAGAUACCCUGGUAGUCCACGCCCUAAACGAUGUCAACUAGUUGUUGGGGAUUCAUUUCCUUAGUAACGUAGCUAACGCGUGAAGUUGACCGCCUGGGGAGUACGGUCGCAAGAUUAAAACUCAAAUGAAUUGACGGGGUCAUAGCUGUUUCCU